ACUUUAGUGUUGUUUUGCCUCGCUUUUGGUACACAGUUCCAGGCUCGACUCUUGAAGGUACCCCAGCUUCCGUGGGUCCCUCGGCCCCAGCCAAGGUCUCUAUGCCUUCAAGGCCACACCAAACUAAACUGUGGCAUUUAACUCGAAAAAACAUAUAUGGAAACGAAAGCUGGUAAGAAGUCUUUAAUCAUGGUGCGUGAAUACUUGUGCCUACAGCUGGGAUCAAGCAAACUCUUACUGCUAGUUUAUGCAGAGGCUUCCAGCUAGUUAGAAGACAAGGAUUAGACUUCGUAAAGUUAUUGCCAGAAGUGGGAUCCAGUUCAUAUGGAUAAGCGGCACAGAGCGAGGCAGGAGGACCUGGAGGCGGCCAUUCUGGUACUGCCCAACUGGUCUCGCACUAAAGGACACGGUAGGCAAGACUGUCUCUGGGUACUGAAGAGCAUCUUUAAGGACGGCGUAGGGCCACCACAUCACCUGGCACCACGUACAGCUCUGUCGUCAGAGACCAGCCUUAGAUAUAGUUGUGCCAGAAGGUUCCUGUGAUGCCACAACCCCCAGCUUCUCAGUCUUCAACCCACAGCAAACUAGACACCCCAUCCUGUGGAAUACCUGAUACCUGGAAAUGUAGCUGGUAAGAAGUAAAGUUUCUGAUGGUGCGUGAAUACUAAUACCUACAGCUGGGAUCAAGCAAACUCUUACUGCUAGUCUUGGCAGAGGCUUUCAGCUAGUUAGUAUCCAAGAGGAUAAGGACGACUUUAUAAAGAGCGCUAUCGCAAGUGGGAUCCAGUUGACGUGAUCUUGAUGAUUUCGGGGCUUUAGUGUCCCCGCGGCCCGGUCCUCGACUCUCCACCCCCAGGAAGCAGCCCGUGACAGCUGAUUAACACCCAGGACAAAUGCCUCCGGUGACGUAAGCUAAAUUCAACGGAAGCUGUACCACUUUCAUCGCUGAAGAGCUCCUCUACACUCGAAACUACUGAAGACGUCCUCCUCAAAACUGACGUAAAAUUAUGUUGACGAGACCACACACUAGAAAUUGAAGGGACGACGACGUUUCGGUCCGUCCUGACGUAAAAUUAGUCUGGUCAACGCUACCUACUCGGCUCCUUCCCUGCAGCUUUUUAAUGCGUCUGUAACCUGCGGACUCCCGCCUCCAGAAAUAUCUCCUUCGCCACACAAUGUUGAAGUCCUGCGUUGGAAAGUUCUUCGUGUAUCCGUUUUCUUUUUCUAUUUAAAAUGACCACAUGUUCUAGCUCCACUAAAAGAUUAGUCAAGCCAAAACUCUUUGCGUAAUAGUGACUUUA